rnacentral:lncRNA from 1 species
AUAAAUUAAUAUCUUAUUCAUAGCGCUUAUCAUUAUUUUGAUUCAUAUAUUUUGUAAAUUCAACUAAAAAAUGUGUCACCUUCAUCAUUGCAUUUUAAUAAAUUAUUAAAGGUAAUUCAAGUUUGAUUUGAUUAUUUAUUGAUUAAGUUUAAUGCAUGCAGGUCAAGUCAAGCUCAAUUAGGUAAAGCCUAAACGGACACUACAUCAUUUCACGAUUUUACAUCCUCCGGAGUCGACUCCAAGAACUUUCCUCCAAAACCCAGUGCUUCCCAUUAAUUCCCAUCUGCAACUAAUUCUAUUUCCACACUUUUCAAUUAUUUGAUCUCAAAGCAUACCACUAGUUGCACGGAUCUCAAAGCCUUAUCUUCUUCAAAUCUCAGCCGGAUAAGCAUCCUAGUUUCCUCCCUGCGUCAAGACAGAACUCCCCUCCACGAUAAACUCCCAGCUCAUGCUCUCCCCUGCAUCUCGGAUUCCAAGCUUAUCCCGUGAUCCUCUUCAUCCCACGUUUCCUUCAUUCCAUUUCAGCCGAAUCCAAACGUCCUCCCAACCUAACCAAUCUUUAUCCAAACUUCCCCAGUUUCACGGAUUAGAACCGGAUCCCAGCUUCUUCCCCAGCCUAUCCUUCGUCCGUGAUCCACCUUCAUCCAAUCCAGACUUCUUCUCAGCCACAUCAAGCUAACAACAGCAUCCUCUUCCCCUGUUUCGAAACAGCAACCUUCUUCCGGAUUAAU